UAAAAACAGAUGCUGACUGUGCCAGCACUCUGGCUGUGCUUAGAAAGGACUCAGAAAAGAAACUUCGCAUAAACUCAAGACAGAACCUCUGUGUCUGCAUAACUCACUGGAUAAGGGUGUUAUGGCUGUUUGAGAAGUGAAACAUGAGUGCUUAUUUGAAUAAAUUUAACUGUUGGAUUGUUUCAUUCUUUUGCAAGUACCCAUCCCCCCACCAAAGAAUUCUUCAAAAGUCUUUGAAGAACAAAAACAUAACACAAGACAACUUGAGCAAAAAUAAAUAUUUGCAGGCACAUACACAUAACGUGGCUUCAUGCAGUGAACAGUUCACACGUAGUGAGUUUCAGGAGUGGCCUGUUCCAGGGGCUCAAAUGACUUCUUAAUGUCCUUUUCUUGGUUUUGCUCCCUUCCUGGUAUUCCAUUCUUGAGCAGCCUCAAAGUUUCAGGUGAGACCCUAGGCCCCACACCCCUCUCCCUAAGGGAGGAGCCAUGUACUCCUCCCCGCUAGGUGUGGAGCCCACCUCAAUCUUGUGGACUGAGAAAGGGGAAGGGAUGGACUCCCAGACAAGAAAGGAAAAUGAUGCUGAGGAGGCAAACAUCAAAGGCACAGCCAUGUGACGUAGUCACAGUAAAACAUUGAGGCUGGUUUAUUUUACCUUUGACUAGAGCCUUGACCCAGAAGGGAGCAACAGGAUAUCUGUUCUGAUAGAAACAUUAGACUGGAAAUCAAGACAUAAGUAAAAUCUCUUAGUUUAUAACCAUUUUGUUACAGCUGCUCAGUGGUAGCCUGCCACUGGAUAACUGCAUGUUUUCUCCAUGUCCGAAUCUAACCGGCAGAAAUAACGUAUCUCUUAACUACCUGAUAUAGUACAUGAGAAGAUACAAUAAGACAGUAAAUGAGAAAAUGUUGAGAAAAAAUAUUUUAGCAACAGAACUCUGUCCACAAUUCUAACAAAGUCCUCGGAUGACUUGUUUCAGUUCUGAGAGCCAGUUUGCGCAGAAGGCAGUCUUCUUCCUUGGUGGCUCAUCUAUACAGUAUUCAGGCAGAUAUAUCAAGACUUUAGGAUAAAAGCUGUUGAGAAAGAAUUACUGCUAUUUUCCACAACACAGAUGGAUCUCCCACAGCAUUAGGUGAAAGCAGAUGAACACAAGUGAAUACACUGUACGAUUCCAUUUACACAAGUCUCAGAAACACACGAAUUUCAUCUGUGGGGUUAGAAAUCAGGAUGAUGUUUAACCUUUGUGCAGUAAGGGCACAAGAGAAGGUUCGUGGGAUGCUGGCCGUACCCUGAUUCUUGACCUGGAAGUUGGUUACAUGGUUAUGUUCCGUUUAUGAAGAUUCAUCAAGUGACAUAAUUUCUCUACUCUUGUGUCUCUAUGUUGUCGUCGCUCAGUCGUGUCCAACUCUUUGUGACCCCACGCGCCAGGCUCCUCGGUCCAUGGGAUUUCCCAGGCAAGAAUACUGGAGCGGGUUGCCAUUUCCUUCUCCAGGGGAUCCUCCUGACCCAGGGAUCAAACUCUUGUCUCCAGCAUUGGCAGGUUUUCUAUCUUGAAAGUGAGAGGAAUAACAACAUCCAACCACCUAUCUCAUCCGGGUCUUGAGUGGCUUAACGGGGUCAUGUUUGUAAGGUCCUGGAAAACUCUCAGGAGAGAAAGUUGUACCACUUUUCCACUUUCGCCUGGUAAGAUUUUCGAGUCAUAGGUGGGAAGGGGUGCACUUAAUGGGGCCUUUAUUACAGACGGAUGUUCUCUGCUUCCUUAUAACUAGAGGACGGACAUCUUUUGAAAGCAGAACUUUUCAUUACUGUGAAAUCUCUGACUCUUGUCAACACAACAGUCUGGAACUCCUGUGGUAAUCCAAGCUUUCUCCUCUAGCUAAAUAGUCUGUGGAGCUCUCAGGAAAGCACCAUGAUUUUAUGGCCACAAGGAAUUACCAGGACUAUUUCUGUAUCAGUAAUACUUAGAUUGACUUCUGGGGUCACACAGGUGGGUUGAGUUCUAUCUAUCUCUGCCAUUUCCUGGCUGGGUGACCUGAAGCAGAUCUCUCGGCCUCCCUGUGCUUUGUGUUGGAAGCACAACCUUGCAGUAGAAUGCUUGCCGCAGUGUGCAGCACAUGGCAAGGUCGCAGACACUAUGACCUGUGUUAACAGUGUGUAUGACCAUAACUUCACGUAUGUAUUCUCCAGGGCCAUGAAGACUUAUAAUGAGUGCAAGUCUCCGACUGAGCAAAUCCUAACUCAUUGGAGCUUGUGCUUAACCAGAAGCUGGCUUAUCCUGACUGUCCAUUCACAAUACCCACAUUUUGCAAUAACCACAGAGUACUGAUCUGAGCAGAUGGUGACUGCAGCCAUGAAAUUAAAAGAUGCUUGCUCCUUGGAAGAAAAGCUAUGACAAACCUAGAGAGCAUAUUGAAAGGCAGAGAUGUUACUUUGCAGACAAAUGUCUGUAUAGUCAAAGCUGUGGUUUUUCCAGUAGUCAUGUAUGGAUGUGAGAUUUGGACCAUAAAGAAGGCUAAGAGCUGAAGAAUUGAUGCUUUUGAACUGUGGUGUUGGAGAAGACUCUUGAGAGUCUCUUGGACUGCAAGGAGAUCAAACCAGUCAAUCCUAAAGGAAAUCAAUCUUCAGUAUUCAUUGGAAGGACUGAUGUUCAAGCUGAAAUUCCAAUACUUUGGCCACCUGAUAUGAAGAACUGACUCAUCAAAAAAGACCCUGAUGCUGGGAAGGAUUGAAGGCAGGAGCAGAUGGGGACGACAGAGGAUAAGAUGGUUGGAUGCCAUCACCGACUCAAUGGACAUGAGCUAGAGCAGGCUCUAGGAGGUGGUGAAGGACAGGGAGGCCUGGAAUGCUGCAGUCCACGGGGUGGCAAAGAGUCGGACAUGACUGAGUGUCUGAACAACAACAACAACUGCUUUGAGCAGCUGACAUCCACUAAGAAGGAACUACACGCCAAGCAUCGUGCUAAACUCUGCGAAUAUAUGUUCUCAUUUAAUGAGAAAAUGCCAGUGAGAUGAUGCCACCAUAUGGAUCAAAUUCCGUCUUCAAAUAGAAAGAGAUAUUUUCAAACAUCCUUGAACUGAGCAUGCAGAAUGAGGGCGGCAUGGUGCUUACAUACCCACUAAUCUCUGUUAUGACAUGUCUGCAUGACGGAGAGGAUCAUACUCCUGGGUUGAGGAAAGGAGGGCUGUCCACAGAUGACACGUGAGUGGAGCCAUCAUGUUCCUGUAUAUACUCGGUAGAUAUAUGGACAGGCUGGACUAGGUAAAUCUAAUCCUUUGCCAUUAUUCAUUUCACUUUCCUGAAUUCUGUGGUAUUUCCAAGGAGUGACUGCUUUUCUUCUGGGUUAAGUAGAAAUCUUUGCCUAAGUCAAAACCACUUACUUUAAAUACAUUCGGAGACACCAGGAUCUUUGGCCCUAGGAGUGUUUCUCAUGAUUUCAAAGUCAAGGAAUUGUCACUUGACCUUAAUGAACACUUAUAGAUCACUGAAUUACAGAUUAAACUAAGUGGAGAAAAGAAGCUUUUCUCCAAAAUUCACUGACUUACUGAGACAGAUUUGAGAAGUCAUCACAGUGUCACUUUAUUGAGCACUGAUGAUUAUAGUGGCAAUGUAUACAAAAUUAAAAGGACUUGGGAUUUCAUUCUGCUACUUGGAAUUAUUUGUGGUCCCUGGGUCAAGGAUGUUUGCAC
ensembl:lncRNA